CGUGUUUAUGUAGGAUCUGGGGAAAUUCCGCGUCCAGUUCAGGUUUCAGCACAAGCAAGACGACAGACUAUGUAUGGAAAACAAAAUCAGCAAGUGUUCACACUAAAUGGGCAAGUUGACCUAACUCAGCAAGUGUGCGCAUUAAAUAGGCAGCCUGAUCUAACUCAGCAAGUGUGUAGAUUGAAUAGGCAACCCAAUAUAACUCAGCAAGUGUGUACAUUGAAUAGGCAACCCGAUAUAACUCAGCAAGUGUGUAUAUUAAAUAGGCAAACUGAUGGAACUCCCGGAAACACCACCUGUCAUGAUGAUACAUCUAAAUCAAAAUCCACUGUAGGAGAACACGAGAAUUGGGUACCAGUUCAUUCUUCAGCACAAGCAACAAAUCAAACUAUGCCUAGAGAUCACACUCAGCAAGCGUCUACAUCAAAUAGUCAAACUUCAGGAAAUCCAGUUGUGAAGAUGGAAGAUAUUGUGUCAAAUGACUUGAGAGCAGAGAAUAAUAGUAUUAAAAAUAAUCUACAACAGGUUUUGCGCCAUUGGCAACAUGAAAGAGCCAGGAGUAAGAGUCUAGCUCGCGUCCUUUUAGAAGAAAGAAAACAGCGGGCUAAGGAAGGAGAAAGUUUAAGGAGCAAAUUGAAGGAUGCUUCUGUUACCAUACAAGAUUUGCUCAACAAAGUGAGGCUGCUACAAAGUAGCAGGAUAACCUUUACCUGCAAAACUGAACGUUAGCAAUGAGAAGUGACACAAAAUAUGUAGCUAAAGAACAACUGAUGCACACUUCAAAGAUCUUGUUAAUAGCAAACCCAUUUAAUAUUAACAUGUAUAUGUUAGCUUAACUUUUCCAUUUUUUCUUUGGAUAUAAUUGUUUUUGACGGAAACAGUUUUGGAUUCCGAUUAUCAAUAUGAAUAUAUUUUAUCUUCCGAAUUUCUAUCCUUUAUUUAAGUUUCUUGUUUUCCCUGCUGUUUCUUGAUCUGUCGAAGAGCAUAGAUCAAUUUGAUGUGCCUGAAUUGCAGCAUAAACAUCAGGGGAUGCUGGAGCAAUCGUGUCAUGGAGUGCUUCCCUUAUGCACAAACUAGAACUCGUGCGCCUGAAAAAAGUUAUACUUAGAAUAGAGAUUUUCUCGGUUAUAGAAGAAAUUACUUAGCAGAGUAAGGAUUUUCUCGGUUAUAGAAAUUACUUAGCAGAAUAGGGAUUUUCUCGGCUAUAGAAGAAAUUACUUAGCAUAUGAUCCAAAGCAAUACAUUUUAGGGUGCCAUUUUAAGGUUUAACCUACGUUGCUCGAACUUUCUGAAAAUGCUGCAGCACCUGUGUCGGAUCCUUAAGAAAGGAGGAUCCAACACACGCCUAUAGACAUUCUUGAAAGUCCGAACAACAUAGAUUUUAACUAUCCUUUGGUGUUCACCAAUCUUUCCUUAAUCUUCACUUCUAAAUUGAAACUUUAAAUUUCCUUUUGUAAUGAGUUCUGUCACACCCCUUUUUUAACGUACUCUAAAAAAGAUUUAUGUUUUAAGAGUCGAAAGAGUUUUAUUUUUUAAGUGACAAGAAAUGAAAAUUUGUUUCGGAAAAGAAUUAUUUACAUUUUUUACUCACCAUCGGAAAAUCCUUUUCAAAACCAUUUUACUCUUUAAACUGGUUUGCAAACAGAGACUCCGGCUAAGGAAUUCUGUUGACCGAGAGGAAGGUGUUAGGCACCCCUCGAUCCCGUGGUUCGACCACGGUCGCUUGGUAGAGUGUAUCAACUAUUUUUGGCAUUAUGCAAUGUAUAAACCACACAACAGCACGCAAAAUAAUCAAACAAUAAACAAAACGAAACAAUCCAAAAUGUAAAGUCCAGUCCAAUUAUACAGUCCAAAAAAAAAUAAAAAAAAAACUGAAAGUAAACCUACACUAAUCCUAAAUUAACGCUCCACCCGACGCCUCGGGCCUUCACCACGGACGUCCUCCGGAUACAUGAUACCUCGGGCAUUCACUGGUGAAUAAAUAUAUACAGAUACUUUGGGGCAUUCCCCGGCCAAAUUAUACAAUUGAAUUAAAUACGAUAAACUAGAAAGAAACAUUCACACGCACAUUCUAACAUUCAACCAAAAUAACAAGUUUUAAAAUUUGUCUACCCAGACCUAUAUUGCCUAUCCGUUUCAACCCAUCGUAAAUCUAUCACAAUUCAUACCAACAAUAAAUCAAAUUAAACCGAAUAUAUCCUUUUUGUCAAUUUUUCAAUUCCACCCCAACUUCCUUUCUAUCCAUCCAUUAGAACAUGAUCAAAUUUAUGUCUCAAUCCACCAAAACCAAACAACCAAGCAUCAUGAUCAUAACAUCAACAUAAACAAAAUCCAACAAAACCAUAAUCACACCACUCGUAAUCGCAACGAAUCCAAACAACCAACCAAAUAUAUAUAUAUAUAAAAAAGACGAGUUAAGAAAUGUACCUCGAUAGAAUGUUUUGUCGAUAAUAAGGAAACCCGGGACAGGAAUCCUCGAACAGAAACCUCCACAGUAGCACAAUCCACUCAGUAUCAAGAAUGUACUACCCGAACGGCGGAUAAUAGACGAACCCAAAACCCCGAUUAAUACCCCGAUUAAUACGACAAAAGAUCGACAACUGACGUAGCUUGAGCUCCGGUGAGCUCAGACGAGACAGAAAAAGACGGACCAAAAAUUCCGGCGAUUCUCACUGUUUCUUGGCGAUUCUCACUGUUUCCGGCAAGCAAAACACGGUUUAUGAGUCGGUUUUAAGAUGAUGAAGUGGUUUUUGUCUCGACGGAGCUCCGGUGAGUUCAGAAAGAUCGAAAAACGGAGAAAAUGCUCAGAUUCCGGCCGACAGUAACUUUUUUCCGGUGAUAAAUAGCCGAAAAACCCCAAAAUCAACCGGAUUUGCACUGUUUCUAUUCAACAACUCGAUUUCUAUUUGUUUUUCUGCUCAAACUCAUUAGUUUCAUCCUCAAUCUCCCUGUUUCUCUCUCUCGUCCCUCGCUCUGUUUGUGCAGUCGAGGGAAUUCUUGUUUUUGGAAAUGGAAAAGUGGUACCGUGUCCCUGUGUGUGUGAAUUCGUUUUUUUUUUUUGGAGAAGAAAAGGAAAAUUUUUCUGGAGAAGAAAAGGAAAAAUUUUUCUUUUCUUGC
rnacentral:lncRNA from 1 species